ensembl:lncRNA
GUUGGGUCCUUCCCUUGGUUUGUGAAGGACUGGAGGGUUGGGUCCUCCUCUAGGUUAGUGAAGAAGUGGAGGGUUGGGUCCUCCUCUACAUUAGUGAAAGAGUGGAGGGUUGUGUCCUCCUCUAGAUUAGUGAAGGAUCGGAUGUUUGGGUCCUCCUCUAGAUUAGUGAAAAGGUGAAGGGUUCGGUCCUCCUCUAGAUUAGUGAAGGAUUGGAGGGUUCUGUCCUCCUCUAGAUUAGUGAAGGAGUGGAGGGUUCGGUCCUCCUCUAGAUUAGUGAAGGAAUGGAGGGUUGGGUCCUCCUCUAGUUUAGUGAAGGGUUGCAUUGUCCCCUAGAUUAGUGAAGGAGAGGAGGGUUGGGUACUCCUGUAGAUUAGUGAAGGUUUCAGUCCUCCCCUAGUUUAGUGAAGGCCUGGGUCCUCCCCUAGAUUAGUGAAGGAUUGGAGGGUUUGGCCCUUCACUCGGUUAGUGAAGGAGUAGAGGGUUGGGUCCUCCUCUAGGUUAGUGAAGGAGUAGAGGGUUGGGUCCUCCUCUAGGUUAGUGAAGGAGUGGAGGGUUGGGUCCUCCUCUAGUUUAGUGAAGGAGUGGAGGGUUGGGUCCUCCUCUAGUUUAGUGAAGGAGUGCAGGGUUGGGUCCUUCUCUAGGUUAGUGAAGGGUUGGGUCCUUCCCUAGGUUAGUGAAGGAUUGGAGGGUUGGGUCCUUCCCUAGGUUAGUGAAGGUUUGGGUCCUUCCCUUGGUUAGUGAAGGAGUGGAGGGUUGGGUUCUCCUCUAGUUUAGUGAAGGAGUGCAGGGUUCGGUCCUCUAGGAUAGUGAAGGAGUGGAGGGUUGGGUCCUCCUCUGGGUUAGUGAAGGAGUGGAGGGUCAGGUCCUCCUCUAGAUUAUUUAAGGAGUGGAGGGAUGGGUCCUCCUCUAUAUUAGUGAAAGAGUGGAGGGUUGGGUCCUUCCCUAGGUUAGUGAAGGAAUGGAGGGUUGGGUUCUCCUCUAGAUUAGUGAAGGAGUGGAGGGUUGGGUCCUCCUCUAGGUUAGUAAAGGAGUGGAGGGUUGGGUCCUUCCCUCGGUUAGUGAAGGAGUGAAUGGUUGGGUCUUCCUCUACCUUCGCGAAGGUGUGGAGGGUUUGGUCCUCCUCUAGGUUAGGGAAGGGUUGGGUCCUCCUCUACCUUCGCGAAGGUGUGGAGGGUUUGGUCCUCCUCUAGGUUAGUGAAGGAUUGGAGGGUUGGGUCCUCUAAAUUAGUGAAGGAGUGAAGGGUUGGGUUCUCCUCUAGAUUAGUGAAGGAGUGGAGGGUUGGGUCCUCCUCUAGGUUAGUGAAAGAGUGGAGGGUUGGGUCCUCCUCUAGGUUAGUGAAAGAGUGGAGGGUUGGGUCCUCCUCUAGAUUAGUGAAGGACCGGAUGGUUAGGUCCUCCUCUAGAUUAGUGAAGGAUUGGAGGGUUGGGUCCUUCCCUUGGUUAGUGAAGGAGUGGAAGGUUGGGUCCUCCUCUAGAUUAGUGAAGGAGUGAAGGGUUGGGUCCUCCUCUAGAUUAGUGAAAGAGUGGAGGGUUGUGUCCUCCUCUAGAUUAGUGAAGGAUCGGAUGGUUAGGUCCUCCUCUAGAUUAGUGAAAAGGUGAAGGGUUCAGUCCUCCUCUAGAAUAGUGAAGGAUUGGAGGGUUCGGUCCUCCUCUAAAUUAGUGAAGGAGUGAAGGGUUGGGUCCUCCUCUAGAUUAGUGAAGGAGUGAAGGGUUGGAUCCUCCUCUAGGUUACUGAAGGACCGGAGGGUUUGGUCCUCCUCUAGAUUAGUGAAAGAGGGGAGGGUUCGGUCCUCGUCUAGAUUAGUGAAGGACUGAAAGAUUGGGUCCUCCCCUAAGGUUAGUGAAUGAGUGAAGGGUUGGGUCCUCCCCUCGGUUAGUGAAGGAGUGAAGGGUUGGGUCCUCCUCUAGAUUAGUGAAGGAUUGGAGGGUUGGGUCCUCUAAAUUAGUGAAGGAGUGAAGGGUUGGGUCCUCCUCUAGAUUAGUGAAGGAUUGGAUACUCCUCUAGGUUAGUGAAGGAGUGGAGGGUUGGGUCCUCCUCUAGAUUAGUGAAGGAGUGGAGGGUUGGGUCCUCCUCUAGAUUAGUGAAGGAGUGGAGGGUUGGGUCCUCCUCUAGGUUAGUGAAGGAGUGGAGGGUUGGGUCCUCCUCUAGAUUAGUGAAGGAGUGAAGGGUUGGGUCCUCCCCUAUGUUAGUGAAGGAGUGGAGGGUUGGGUCUUCCUCUAAUUUAGUGAAGGAGUGGAGGGUUGGGUCCUCCUCUCAUUUAGUGAAGGAGUGGAGGUUUGGGUCCUCCACUAGGUUAGUGAAGGAGUGGAGGGUUGAGUCCUCCUCUAUAUUAGUGAAGGAGUGAAGGGUUGGG